AUGUAAUUUCAGUAGUAGAGUGUAGCUUUGUCAAUUUGUCAUCCACCAUGGCCGGUGCUGCAGAUGAGGUUUUAGGCAUUCUGCACGGCGCGGCCCGUGUGUAAUUUGUAGCCAAGUAGGUUUCCGUUCUUGUUGGUCCCCGGACCUCGCCGGCGUUUUUGUGACCGGCGUCCUGCUCCGGAUGUUACUGUAAAAUGUUCCGUGGGUGCACAGCAUUGGUGUACUGGUCUGUCUGUAAAAAAGUUGGGAUCUUUAGGUUGUAAUCAACUGCUGUUGUUAAUUGUAAGAAUCUGUCUCCUCAUCAUCAACCGACUGAGAUUGUUUUCGUCCAUUGGAUCGAGAUACAGAUGCAGAUGCAUGUACUUCAUUUUCUCUCUCUUUAUCUUCUCUAGUUCUCUUCCCCGUCCCCCUGGCUCGACGCAGAAAGCGAGCCGCCUCCACCGCCUGUCGCCUCCGCUUCCCGCCGUCUCUACCGCCUUCACCGCCGGCCGUUGAGCCGCCCAACAGCUUCCUCUACAGUUAGGCACUUGAGUAAGCUCCCAACCCUAACUCUGAAUCCCAUCUCCAUUCUAGUUAUAGUAGAAAUUUAGGUGACCGACAGACAAGCAAGAUCUCAAUCGAUUGAUGAGAAGUACAACUCUAAUUCGAUUGAUGAGGAGUAAAACUCUAAGGCCCCGUUUGGGUCCAAGGAAUUGGAAUCUAUUUAAUGGAGUAGGCUAAUUUAUGUUGGAAUGUGGCAUUCCACAACUUUCCAAAAUUUAGAUAUAAGCCUAUCUUAAAUUCAUGAGGUGGGAGAUGGAAAUUGAUUUUAUAGAUUAUGGUUAUUAGAUGGAAUUCAAUUCUUAUAGCACGCUCUUAGACUCGCUUCUCUAUAGUAGAAGUGCAGCAUACAAGUAUCUCUCCCAUAUCACCAACUAUAAUAUACAACUAUAUUCCACAUACAAUUAUAUUAGUUUAAUUAAUUUGUGUCUAAAUUAUGAUUAUUAGGAUGGAAUUCAAUUCCAAUGAUCCAAACGGGGCCUAAUUGUAAUGCUACUUCAUCGUGCUGUGAAGAAAUUGCGUGCCAAUUUUGUCCAUCAUCACUCUGUGCUGUUGUGUGUGCUCACCGCUCUCUCAAAUCUCAAUGCAUUCUCACGUUCUUGGUACUAACUACCGGAAGUUCACAGUGCUUGUUCAAAGCUUGCCAGUGACGAUGCCGGCAUAUGGCAGAAAGGUUUUUGGAUUGAGUGCAAGCUAACAGCUUUGGGUGGCUGUCCAACGAUGAUAGAAGAAAUGCGCGAAAACAUCUCUGCUCAUCCUUUGUGCCGCCACUGCAGACUGCCGUGCUUGACGCUGCUCGCAAGAGGUGGAGCGCGUGCGUGGUAAGCAGAGGCCAUGCCGGUUUCUGUGAGUGUCAGCAGUGUGGGUGGUUUGCGGCUGUUCCGUCCCCGAACGGCCCGGCGGCGGCCGGCGGCCAUUCGCGAAGCGUCCUGUGAGAUCAGAUUAGCAAUGGGACGCACGUCGCGUCGCCCCCCGUUGUCCGGUUCUGUGAGCGCACGUCGCAAGGCAAAGCGGCGAGCCACCUCGGUCGAUCUCCGCCGCCGGCGGCCGUGGUGGUUUCCAGUGCCUCCCCCCAUACCUGGCUGGAAGUCGUGUGGGCUGAGUCGCAUGGUGGCAUCUAAACUUGGGAGGUACACGGCCCAUGGGCCACCUAGGCGAAGCAACGGAUCCGCCCAUGGGCUUCCAGUAUUGUUUUUGUUGGACCCAAGUGAACGUAAUGGAUCGGCCCAUGGAAGUCUUCUCGUGGGUAAGAGAGUGGGUUGUGGGCCUCGAUCGAGCUGGUUCAGGCUCGAAAGAAGCGGGUGACGGAAGCAUCGCCGCGGGGGACGACGACACGAUGAUGCUCGGUGGAUCUGGGCGGCGUCCGGCGAUGUCUUUGAUCCGUUCGUGGGAUGCUCAGGCCACCAUGACCACUGAUUCCUCCUGUUCGGUGUUCGUUGUCCGAUCCCCUCCGCCGGCUACAGAGAACCGUGGCAAGAAAGAAGAUUAAAAAUCACACGCACGCCCACCUCCCGUCGUCGCAUCCGGCCGGCCAACGUGAUUAAUGCCCCGGAACUUCAUUAGCACUGCCCGAGAACACAUGAUAUAUGCAACGCAGCAGCGCAUCAGAAAAAUGCUCGGGGAACAACCGGCCGGCCUUCUCAACGUGCGCCGACCAACCACCCAACGGAGGAGGAGGGCGCGCGGGGCAUCUCCGCCGGGGUCAGGAUCGUCUCGCAAUUGGCAUCAUCGAUCGCGCCCGGCGGGCGGUGUGGGGUUGCCAAGAAACGGACUUGUAUGACGGCCCAUUGGAAUUUGCCUCCGCCCGUGAGUCAUCUCCUCGGCCUUCAAUUUCUUUCAUGCGGAGUAGUUAUGGGCCUCCAUCGUGGGGCAUUGUCGUUUUCGUAUGACGAUUGUACUAGCUUGCAUCUAAAUGGAGCAGGGGCCAACCAGUAAAUGGAUUUAUUCUUCUAAAGUUCUAAAGUUUGGCUAGCUGCGGAAAUCCUGUCCAUCUUCCUUAAGGAAGAAACUUAAUCAUCUUCCGGUGCGCGCGAUAACAGUCGUUGGAUCGGCUUCUUCCUCCCGUUGGUUUAGGGUUGGGUCUUUGGGGUUCGCUAGCUUAGAAAGGGGCUGGGGGUGGUCGAUUGGCCUAGCGGUGGAGGCGGGUGAGAUGGUGGCGGGGGACACCGGAUGGGCAGGGUCGGCGGUGGGGACGAAGAGCUCGAUUGGGAGCUGAUGGAGUUAGGAGAGGCGGUGGUUGUAGCUUGGCGGUGCGGUGAGGUGGUGGGGACACUGCUGGCUGUGGGUGGCGGAGGGCAACGACGGGGGCGUCACCUGCCUUCAGGUUAGGAAGGGCGGGGUCGAGGGUGGCGGUGGAUGGUGGGGUGGGGUGGGGGGAAGGCAGGCGGCGCAGCAGCGGCCAGCCGGGGUGGUGGAGGCAGCGGGGUGGGGAGCCACUAGGGAAGAAUACGAAGAGGAGGAAGUCUCGUGGGCUGGUGGUGGGUUGGAAGACCACUCUCCUAUCUAUCUUCCGAUAGAAAGAUAGGAGCCUCUGGCUAGUUGUUACUGUACACAUCUAAUAGAAUUUGCAAAAACUUAGGGGGGUCAUGGGCCCAUGGCCCAAGUUGGGCCUCAACUAAGUGAUCAGGCCUAAGGCUGGGCAUGGUUUGGUCUCGAACUGGUUUAGUGGUUUGAUUUUUUAAUUGGUGUUGGUUGGUUUGGUGGAUAAUGGGGUGACAUAUAUAAUGGUUGGAUUUGGUUUGGUUUAGCGUUGUAAUGGUUUGGGCCGAUUGGAAUUGGUUUGACUAAUUCAAAAUAUUCAAUAAUAGUAAAAUUAGUAUGGCUAUACGUGUGAUCUAGGUCAAAAGCUGGAUCCUAAAAUUUAAAUCUCGCGUUCACAUCUAAAAUUUUUUAGCGAAAUUAACAAAUUUGUUCGAGAUAUCUCAGAACCACAAUCAGCUACUUCGUGCAGAUUGUCGUGGCUAAAUCUACACAUGGAUCCCGCGUCGAAAGCUGGACUCUAAAAUUAAAAUCUCACAUUCACACCUUAAUAUUUUUGUAAAUUUGAUUGAAAUUUGUUGAAGAUGUUUUAGAAUGGCAAUCCGCUACUUGUGUAAAUUAGCGUGCCUAGAUCUACACGUGGGCUCUAUGUUGAAGCCGGACCCUAAAACUAAAACCUCACGUUCAUACCUUAAAAUUUUAGCGAAUUUGACUGAAAUUUGUUGGAGAUGUCUCAAAAUAACAGUCAGCUACUUCGUGCAUGGUACUGCUAGAUCUACGUGUGGAUCCACGUCGAAAGCUAACCAUAUGAUAUAUAUAGAAAAUAGGUUUUAAGUGGCUUAGAACCGGUUUGAGAUAUGAGUUUAGUUUGGUUUGUGUUCUUUUACACCACUUAGUUGGUUUGGUUUAGAUACAUAACACUAAUGGGCUGGUUGGUGUGGUUUGAAAUUAAAUUUCUUUGGUUUGGUUUUGCGACGAUUCUCGUACCAUUAGCAGCUUUAAUCAUGCCCCCUGACUCGAUACCUGCUUCAGUAUCCGAACAUUCAUCUUAGCGAUCAGAACCUUUGUGUCCGAUAUUUAUAGGAAAUAAAAAUAGAGAAAGCAUAUAGUCAUCAGAGCUGGCAUGCGAAAUGAGGUGCUUACCUCAGUUGGUAAGGUUUCUUGAGCAAAACCUACCCAUCAGAGUUUGAGUCCUUAACUCGGCAUGAGUCAUCGUAUUUUUCUGGAUUUAUUCCAGAAUUUAACCGGCACUAUUUUUCCAGUGGUAGGCAACGUGCCUGUCGAUACGCCAGUGGUGACUUCGUCAAUCUUGAGGAUUUGCCGGCUCAGUAUUUCGGAGGUGCUCAAAGGUAAGGUUGCGUGCGUAUGUUCGUAGGGGCGAGUGUGUGUACAUGUAUGUGAGCGUCUGUUCCGUGUGCUUCGAAAAAAAUCAGAGCGUGGCCAGUGAUUUCUACUAGUAGCGCAUAUAUUCAGUCCCCUUGUGCUGUUACAAAGAACAAAAAAAAAA
rnacentral:lncRNA from 1 species